GAGUUUGAUCCUGGCUCAGGAUGAACGCUAGCGGCAGGCCUAAUACAUGCAAGUCGAACGAGAUUGUUGUAGCAAUAUAACAUGAAAGUGGCGCACGGGUGCGUAACACGUAUGCAAUCUACCUUUAAUUGGAGCAUAGCCUCGAGAAAUCGGGAUUAAUACUCCAUAACAUAAUUAAGUGGCAUCAUUUGAUUAUCAAACCUCCGGGGAUUAAAGAUGAGCAUGCGCAACAUUAGCUAGUUGGUAAGGUAAUGGCUUACCAAGGCUACGAUGUUUAGGGGGUCUGAGAGGAUGAUCCCCCACACUGGUACUGAGACACGGACCAGACUCCUACGGGAGGCAGCAGUAGGGAAUAUUGGGCAAUGGAGGAAACUCUGACCCAGCCAUGCCGCGUGCAGGAUGACGGCCCUCUGGGUUGUAAACUGCUUUUAUACGGGAAGAAAAAAUACUACGUGUAGUAUACUGACGGUACCGUAAGAAUAAGGAUCGGCUAACUCCGUG
rnacentral:rRNA from 1 species